UAUCUAACCAUGCAUUUCUGCUGUAUUAUCCCACUCUCUAUCUCUCUAAUCGCACACUUCCACAGACUAGUGAGCUACCACGCAUGUAAAAAACCACAGAGCUGUAACUGCAAGUCAAUGCCAAGCUGAUAGUCGUAAGAGUACCUGUAAACCUAACAAAGAUAUUCGCCUAAUCUACAUCUCAACUUGCAGCUUCUAUAUAUAGAGAGUCAUUCACUUUUCCGCCUUCAUCAUUCCUAUUAAUUUCUUCAGCCUAGGGCUGAAAGUCUAUAUUGAUAAUUCUGGGCAUAGUCUGUUUGAUCAUGGCGAAUGGAGAAUGAUCAGGAGACUCCUACAGAUGAUUUGGUCAGAAGCCCGUCUAUAUAUAUAUAUAUAUAUAUAUAUAUAUAUAUAUAUAUAUAUGAUUUAACUGGGUGAGUGGUUUCCACGCUACUCUUGUCAAGUGAACAAUUUCUGGUUGAUUUUCCUUGAUCUCGUUGUCUGUUCGACCUUGAGGUUUUCAAUGCUUGUCUAUCUGCGGAGGAAUAUAUAUAUAUAUGAUCAUAUGUUACAAAAAGUCAAUUUCUUUAUAAACGAAAAAAAUAAAAAAGUGAUUUGAAUGUGAUUAUCUCAUUCGUACUUUUGUUGGACUUUUUUCUUAAUGUUUACUGCUAUUUUUUCUUCUUUUGUUAUUCUGCAUAUUAGAAAAAAAAGAAGGAUGAAACCAUGCAGCUAGUAAUCAUAUUAGAACUUCAAGGAAAAUCCUCAUGAUUUCAACUCAUCCUGUUAUAGAUAAUGAAGAUGUUUGUUUGGUGACAAGAUCAAUAGCUUAAUUGUUGAGCAAUUUCCUCUAUGGUUAUAACCAAAUCGUCCAAGGUCUCUUGUGGCUUGGAGUUGCACUUCGCACAGAAAUCACAAAGCUUGUCGUUUUCAUUCCUUCGAGCAGCUAGGCCCAUGUUCAUGUACAUUGCUCUUUUUCUCUGUAUGUUUUUGUCCUGGAAAUUUCCAUACGAAUAACUUAGCCCCCUGGCUAGAAGAAAGACCCGUUUACUCAUCCAAAAGAUUUAAGGUUUUCCCUUGUUGAGGAUUUAAGGUUUUCUUGCGCACUUUAUUAAUAAGUUUUGUUUCCUUGUUUUUUAUUUAAUAUUCAAUAAACAAGUCUAAUUCAUUAUAGCAGACAAAUUAAAUAAUUAGAACCAUGCCAUAAAUGUAAAGUGUAAUUAUUCAAGUAAACUUCAAGGUCGUACAGACAACGAAUUAAGGCACGUCCAACAGAACUGCUUGCUUGACAAGCCUUUGCGUGGACACCAACACCAAUCUAUUUCGUAGCAAGGUGAAACAUCGCCGGUGACAGAUUUUAUACUUGUAUUUCCUUUUCAAAAGUCUCGGCGGGUAUGCAAAUCUCACCUCUCUCUCUCUCUCUCUCUCUCUCUCUCUCUCUCUCUCUCUCUCUAGCUACCUAGCUGAUCAUUUUCACAAACAUACAGUCAUAUAUAGAUCCAUGAAUAUGAUGAAUAUUAAAUUUCAGAAAUUGGUAUUAUGCAGGUAAGUGGCAUGUGAUGAUCUACGUGUUGAAUCGAUCAAAAUCCCAGUCAAAUUAGUGUCAGUUUGAGACCAUGAAUGAUGGAGAACGAAUUACAGCAAUGAAAAUGGGUUUUUAUCUAUGUAGGAAUUUAAUAUUGUAUGGCUACUAAUUAUUUAUUUGGAACGAAUCUAAUAAUCUAACUCCAGUACUAUAAUCGAUCACGUAGCUUUUUUGUCCAAAACAUGGCUCCUUUUGCCACCAAACCAUGGUACUCAAGUUGUUCUCUCGUGUUUGAUAUUUUCUUUUAAUUCUGACUUUUUUAUGAAAAAAAAAACCCUAGAUGGAUUUCAAGGUA